rnacentral:rRNA from 1 species
UCCUACGGGAGGCAGCAGUGGGGAAUCUUGGACAAUGGGGGCAACCCUGAUCCAGCCAUGCCGCGUGUGUGAAGAAGGCCUUCGGGUUGUAAAGCACUUUCAGCAGGGAGGAAGGCUUACCCCUAAUACGGGUGAGUACUUGACGUUACCUGCAGAAGAAGCACCGGCUAAUUUCGUGCCAGCAGCCGCGGUAAUACGAAAGGUGCAAGCGUUAAUCGGAAUUACUGGGCGUAAAGCGCGCGUAGGUGGCUUGAUAAGCCGGUUGUGAAAGCCCCAGGCUCAACCUGGGAACGGCAUCCGGAACUGUCAAGCUAGAGUGCAGGAAAGGAAGGUAUAAUUCCCGGUGUAGCGGUGAAAUGCGUAAAGAUCAGGAAGAAUACCCUUGGCGAAGGCCGCCUUUUCUGGAUCUCACUGACAUCUAAAGUUGCGCUAGCUU